UACACGCGUUCGUAGAUGAUACGCGCAUUUCGGUAUUCAAUUGAUAAUGAUAUGCGUAUGAUACGAGUAUCAUACCGAUAUCGUAUGUUAAAAUAUACGCGAGCAAUAGUUUACAUUUUGAGAUCAUUUUGGCUUAUUUUUGCUUGAGAAAUGAAUACAAUGAGGACAAAUUUAAUGGUCACAUGCAGUGCUCAGAACGCAGGAAAUGGCAUUUCCGGGCUUCAAAUUUCAAAAAUUUUCCGGGGGGGCAUGCCCCCGGACCCCCCUAGCUAUGCGAGGUCUUGGAAAAUGCUACGGUCAGAUUUUUGGCUGGAUCCGCCCCUGGGUGUGAUACUGAUAUUUCUUUUAUCUGUAAGGAUAGACCUGGGGAGUUUUUUGUGGUAGUCUUGUUUUCCUGUACUGCAUGUGUUUUCCUCACUUCCCUGAUUUUAUCAUAAGUAUUGUAUCGCAUGGACACCAUCUUAUCAUUUCUGCAGUUUUUUGACAAUCUACCGUAAACCUCCGACUAUAAGCCCUGGGCUUAUAUUCUUUUGUAAACGAUUUUUGAUGGGCUUACACAAGGGGCUUAUACAUGGACAAUCUUUUGUGUUAGUAAUAAACAAGUCAGUCAUAAACAGGAAAAUAAACAUGUAUUAAUAACACACUUUGAUUAAAAAAGACAAUGACAGGGGCUUAUAAUCAGGGG